CGUACGAUACGAGUUUAUCCUGGCUCAGAUUGAACGCUGGCGGCAUGCCUUACACAUGCAAGUCGAACGGUAACGCGGGGCAACCUGGCGACGAGUGGCGAACGGGUGAGUAAUGCAUCGGAACGUGCCCAGUAGUGGGGGAUAGCCCGGCGAAAGCCGGAUUAAUACCGCAUACGACCUACGGGUGAAAGCGGGGGACCGUAAGGCCUCGCGCUGUUGGAGCGGCCGAUGUCAGAUUAGGUAGUUGGUGGGGUAAAGGCCUACCAAGCCUUCGAUCUGUAGCUGGUCUGAGAGGACGACCAGCCACACUGGGACUGAGACACGGCCCAGACUCCUACGGGAGGCAGCAGUGGGGAAUUUUGGACAAUGGGCGCAAGCCUGAUCCAGCCAUGCCGCGUGCGGGAAGAAGGCCUGCGGGUUGUAAAGCCCUUUAGGCGGGGAGGAACGGUCGGGUGCCAAUACCACCCGGCGCUGACGUUACCCGCAGAAUAAGCACCGGCUAACUCCGUG
rnacentral:rRNA from 1 species